GAGAGAGAGAGAGAGAGAGAAUCUUAUAGCAUUGAGUUCUACAUUAGUUUGUUAGUGCUGCCACAACCCUGGUAAUUUAAACAACAAAAAUUCAUUUUCUCACAGUUCUGGAGCCCAGAAGCCUGAAAUCAAGGUGUCAUCAGGGCAGCACUCCCUCAGGAUGAACUGGCCAGCACUGCAGCUAGUUUACCACUCUGACAGCAUAGACUGGAGUUUCCAGGAGCCACACUGUGGAAUCCAAGGAUGAAAUGAGACUACUGAAGGGCUGUUGGCCCCACAGGGUCGUGGGGUGUCCCUUAUGCUGUGCUGAAGUGCAGGAUUCAAGAAGUAAAGAGACGGGACACUAAAGAACUGGUGAAGAGCAUCUGGACUUGGGGGCCACACCACCUAUGAGCAGAGACAGGAUCUCAAGCCUGAGGCCUACUUUCCAC